CCUGGUGGCUAUAGCGAAGGGGUCACACCCGUUCCCAUCCCGAACACGGCAGUUAAGCCCUUCUGCGCAGAUGGUACUCGGUUUAUUAACCCGGAAGAGUAUGUCGCUGCCAGGA
rnacentral:rRNA from 1 species